rnacentral:lncRNA from 1 species
AUGUGAUGGCAGAGUGGGGCUGCUAUCUUGGGCCAUGAAGCAACAAGCAUGAAGACAUACAAAGGAUGGUUGAGUGGAAAGAACAAAAAAAGGGAUUGAACAGUGAAAGAUCAAGAGGGAAUGAUUCCUUGGGAGCGGCAGUUGACAAAGCAAAUUACAGAAUAUACUCAGUGAGAAUCAGAUGAAACACGGGAGAUAAAAGGCUCCGGACCAAGAGGUCCCAGCGAAGCAUUCAGAGGAGAAAGGCUGCAACCAGGAAGUCCACACACUCACAGCUGCUUCCAGGCCCCGGUGCUCACCCAGUAACAAAGCCACUUCUGUCUGGGAAAACCACAGCAAGGCGAGGCAGGGAGCAGAAAGCCUUUAAUUGGGGUGGCGAACGAGCGGCCCUGUGAACUCCAAAUGCCUCCAGCAGGCUGGGGCACGCUUUUUCUUUCCCUUCCUCUUUGCCCACCCGUUGAUGGCCUCGCUCUCCAGGGCUUCUCAACAGGCAUUGUUGGUCUUUUGGCUUCUCCCCUGCUUCGGGUCCGGAGCCAUCUUUCCGCCUUUUUGCUAUUCCGCCCUGAGCAUGCUACGGGCCAGUGUCCUGGGUUCUCAGCUUACCCUCUCUCCAUCAAGAUGUUCCUAUCCGGGUUCCACCUCUUCAGACCUUGCCAGAAAAUGAGUAUGAAUGAAUUUGAGAUUUAAAAUGAAGGCACGCUACUAAUGGAGAAUCAAAUGGAGAUGUAGAAGUAGUACGAUAGUAAAGAAAACAAGAGACUGGAAGAAGGUAUGUUGCCAGUUUCACAGUGAAUGGCAAUUGCAAUUUGCUGUGGCAGAGCUGUUU